rnacentral:rRNA from 1 species
UACGUAGGGGGCGAGCGUUGUCCGGAAUUAUUGGGCGUAAAGAGCGUGUAGGCGGUUCGGUAAGUCUGCCGUGAAAACCUGGGGCUCAACCCCGGGCGUGCGGUGGAUACUGCCGGGCUAGAGGGUGGUAGAGGCGAGUGGAAUUCCCGGUGUAGCGGUGAAAUGCGCAGAUAUCGGGAGGAACACCGAUGGCGAAGGCAGAUCUCUGGGCCGUAACUGACGCUGAGGAGCGAAAGCAUGGGGAGCGAACAGG